CAGCAUAGAGAGCUUGCUCUCUGAUGGCGAGUGGCGAACGGGUGAGUAACAUAUCGGAACGUGCCUAGUAAUGGGGAAUAACUACCGAAGGGUUAGCCAAUACCGCAUACGACCUACGGGUGAAAGCAGGGGAUCUUCGGACCUUGCGUUACUAGAGCGGCCGAUAUCUGAUUAGGUAGUUGGUAGGGUAAAGGCCUACCAAGCCGACGAUCAGUAGCUGGUCUGAAAGGACGAUCAGCCACACUGGAACUGAGACACGGUCCAGACUCC
rnacentral:rRNA from 1 species